rnacentral:rRNA from 1 species
GAUGAACGCUGGCGGCGUGCUUAACACAUGCAAGUCGAACGGAAAGGCCCAAGCUUGCUUGGGUACUCGAGUGGCGAACGGGUGAGUAACACGUGGGUGAUCUGCCCUGCACUUCGGGAUAAGCCUGGGAAACUGGGUCUAAUACCGGAUAGGACCACAUUUUGGAUGGUGUGGUGGAAAGUUUUUCGGUGUGGGAUGAGCUCGCGGCCUAUCAGCUUGUUGGUGGGGUAAUGGCCUACCAAGGCGUCGACGGGUAGCCGGCCUGAGAGGGUGUACGGCCACAUUGGGACUGAGAGACGGCCCAGACUCCGACGGGAGGCAGCAGUGGGGAAUAUUGAACAAUGGGCGCAAGCCUGAUGCAGCGAGGCCGCGUGGGGGAUGACGGCCUUCGGGUUGUAAAAUCCUUUCGCUAGGGACGAAGCGUUAUGUGACGGUACCUGGAGAAGAAGCACCGGCUAACUACGUG